AGCUUUGCCCAGUGGCAGUAUUGUAGCCAACGAGGUUUAUCCGAGGCACAAUUAUUGCUAAUUAAAUAGGACUUUAUUACUGUUAUUGUCAGGUUGGACUUACUGUGAAAUGAUCGAGUCUUACAUAGUUUCAGAAAUGUCUUAAAAU
ensembl:snRNA U4 U4 spliceosomal RNA